GUGGGUAGUGUGAGCUUUGAAAUGCUCAACAUGGAAUGCUGUGAUAUGAAUUUCAGCAACCUUUUUGGGGAAACUAUUUUUAGUCUCUUAAUACAUGAUUAAUGUGACCAUUUUCUCCUUAUUGCUGCCUUAGAUUUAAUUAACAAUUGGUGUGAUUAUUUUUCCUGGAUGUGAUGCCAGACGAUUAAACCUUUGAGUCACGAUCACAGCCCUUGUAGGUUAAACAGCUACCAAAACUGCUUUUGAUGGGACAAGAGCAUCAUUGUAUCUGUGGACAAACUGUCUGAGGAAGAACCCACCCCUGGAGAGCAAGCUGGCUGCUCCUCCAAUAUCUGACUGCCACCCGGAAAGAAAAUUUGUUCCUUCCAAGUUAGACUAUGUGUCCCUUCUAUGAAAUGUCUGCAGGGCGCCCAAACUCACCCAAUUCCCUGCGCUGCCUCCUGAACUCUUCAUGGAAGAGAGAGCGCAGUGAGUCACCCUGUCUUCUUAAGAGGACACAUGUAAGAGGGGCCGGUGAUUGUGUAGCCAGUGAGGACAUGAGGACAGUGGGUGUUUACAACUUGUCUGCCAAGCAGAGAGAUGAUUCUCUUAAACCCAGCACAGUAUGUGUGUCAUGUGUGGUGCAUGUGUGUGUUUGGUGGUGGAGGGUGGGGGAUGGAGACCUUAAUACCUAAAUCACCAAACAAGAUUUCUGAGUGGGAAAAAUGUGACUGAUCACUACAUUGAGUCCAUUUGUCAUGGACAGACCCUGUUUUCAACCUGUUGUCACCUUUUUUUUAUUUGGCAUUGUGCAUUCUCAGCUGAUUGUUAGACAUAUUUAUAUCAGCUCGUGUUUGGUUUUUUUUUCUUUUUAUAAAGACAAGGGUGUUCUGGUGCUACAGAUGUGGAUACAAACUAAAAAUAAAAAGGUGUCCCUUUAUAAUAACA
rnacentral:lncRNA from 1 species